GAAGAUGUAACGGGGCUAAACCAUGCACCGAAGCUGCGGCAGCGAACGUAUCACCCAAGACAACUUUACGGAGUUGACGAUUGACGGAGCGAAGCGACGUCAAAGCGUUCAUUAAAGUCGAGUUGGCUUAGGGAUACGUUCGUUGGGUAGGGGAGCGUUCUGUAAGCCUGUGAAGGUGGCCUGUGAGGGUUGCUGGAGGUAUCAGAAGUGCGAAUGCUGACAUAAGUAACGAUAAAGCGGGUGAAAAGCCCGCUCGCCGGAAGACCAAGGGUUCCUGUCCAACGUUAAUCGGGGCAGGGUGAGUCGACCCCUAAGGCGAGGCCGAAAGGCGUAGUCGAUGGGAAACGGGUUAAUAUUCCCGUACUUGGUGUUACUGCGAAGGGGGGACGGAGAAGGCUAUGUUGGCCGGGCGACGGUUGUCCCGGUUUAAGCGUGUAGGUGUGUGUUCCAGGUAAAUCCGGUUCACUUUAACACUGAGGCGUGAUGACGAGGCACUACGGUGCUGAAGCAACAAAUGCCCUGCUUCCAGGAAAAGCCUCUAAGCAUCAGGUAACAUCAAAUCGUACCCCAAACCGACACAGGUGGUCAGGUAGAGAAUACCAAGGCGCUUGAGAGAACUCGGGUGAAGGAACUAGGCAAAAUGGUGCCGUAACUUCGGGAGAAGGCACGCUGACAC
rnacentral:rRNA from 1 species